rnacentral:lncRNA from 1 species
CUGGUCUUCAGCGGAUCUCCAGCCGCUCUGUGCCACGUUCUCAUCCUCUGCACGGACUCCGAGGGCCCAGCCCCGCUGACUGCCUAUCUGCACCUAACUUAGCUGUCUGUAAAACCAGGAUGCCCACUGUUUAGGCUGUUUCGGACAUGGACCCGGGGCUCCCAGGGUCCCCAGAGCUGCUGAUUUAAGCCCUGCUGGGGGAAGGACCCCACCUUUGGAAGGAUGGGGCCACAUUGCUGGACACUGUGACCCAAGAAAGGUGGGGCUGCACCUGAGGAGCCACCCGGACCCCGGCCGUGGAGAGGACGCACUCACCGGGAGCUGAACCUAGAGUCUUCACAUUGAGCCUCAUCCACAGCUUCUCCCUCUUUCUAUUUUUUAUUUUUUGAGACAGGCUCUAAAUUGCCUGGAACUUGAGAUCCUCCUGUCUCAGUUGCUGGCAGUGCUGGGAUUACAAGUGUGCGCCACCACCCGGCUGGUGACCUCUGAUGACAGCAGCAGUCAUAGGGUUUAGGCCCAACUAAUCCUGGUGACCUCACUGACUCCUGUAAGAGUGGUUCCCAGUAAGGACAUUCUGGGGUUCCAGGGACUUGCCUCUCGGGGUGCUCUUCCACCCAGCGUGUGAUGGACAGAGGGUCACAGACCAAGCAGGGGGGCUGGCAGGCUCCUGCACAUCUGAUUCCUGACCUCAGUGGGCUUCAUCUUUGCCGUGGGCAGAGUGGGGGUCCCCCACCCCAUUGCUCUUGGCGCUGGGGUCAGGCUCCUGAGUGUUCUUUUUAAAAUUUUAUUCAUUAAGUUUAUUGGUACAUUUUAGGCAUACAGUACAAUGAUGUUCAUCGUUGGGAACUUGUACCUGUACAUGAUGUAUCUUGGUUCUUAUUUUUCCCCCUCCCCUCCCUUCACCCCCUCUGCCCUUCCCUAUUUACAAAGACUUUGUUUUCCUUUUCUCAUAUUUUUUUCCUUUUUCCUACCCCUCCUAUUUCCCCUUCCCCUUUGGACCUUUUCUUCCUAUUUCUCAUUAUCUAUUAUAGAUUUUGG